GCAUUACGAUCUUCUAAUUUCAGGAAACCUUGUGGAAGAGGACCAACAAAAGCCUAAAAUCAAAAUGAGGAAACAAUAUACAUAGUAACAUCUGCAUAUACCUAAAUUGCAAAUAAGGAUCGGAGUAAUUAAUGACUCAUAAGUAACAAGCAUAAAUACAUUUCUGAGUACGUCGUCCGGUACAUUUCUACUGGAAUUACAGAGUGCCCUUGCAGCACUGUGAGAGAAAAUCACU